UACGUAGGGUGCAAGCGUUGUCCGGAAUUAUUGGGCGUAAAGAGCUCGUAGGCGGUCUGUCACGUCGGCUGUGAAAACCCGAGGCUCAACCUCGGGCCUGCAGUCGAUACGGGCAAACUAGAGUACUGCAGGGGAGACUGGAAUUCCUGGUGUAGCGGUGGAAUGCGCAGAUAUCAGGAGGAACACCGGUGGCGAAGGCGGGUCUCUGGGCCGAUACUGACGCUGAGGAGCGAAAGCGUGGGGAGCGAACAGG
rnacentral:rRNA from 1 species